CGUAGGGGGCCAGCGUUGUCCGGAUUUAUUGGGCGUAAAGAGCGUGUAGGCGGCCAGGUAGGUCUGGUGUGAAAACUCGAGGCUCAACCUCGAGAUGUCAUCGGAAACCAUCUGACUAGAGUCCGGAAGAGGAGAGUGGAAUUCCUGGUGUAGCGGUGAAAUGCGCAGAUAUCAGGAAGAACACCUAUGGCGAAGGCAGCUCUCUGGGACGGUACUGACGCUGAGACGCGAAAGCAUGGGGAGCGAACAGGAUUAGAUACCCUGGUAGUCCACGCCGUAAACGAUGGGUGCUAGGUGUGGGUGGUGUCGACUCCAUCCGUGCCGCAGCUAACGCAUUAAGCACCCCGCCUGGGGAGUACGGCCGCAAGGGCUA
rnacentral:rRNA from 1 species